GGCGAUUGGGCGUUUGAUCAUGGCUCAGAGCGAACGCUGGCGGCAGGCCUAACACAUGCAAGUCGAGCGCCCGUAGCAAUACGGGAGCGGCAGACGGGAGAGUAACACGUGGGAACGCGCCCUUCGGUUCGGAAUAACUCAGGGAAACUUGAGCUAAUACCGGAUACGCCCUUACGGGGAAAGAUUUAUUGCCGAAGGAACGGCCCGCGUCCGAUUAGCUAGUUGGUGAGGUAAUGGCUCACCAAGGCGACGAUCGGUAGCUGGUCUGAGAGGAUGACCAGCCUCACUGGGACUGAGACACGGCCCAGACUCCUACGGGAGGCAGCAGUGGGGAAUAUUGGACAAUGGGCGAAAGCCUGAUCCAGCCAUGCCGCGUGGGUGAAGAAGGCCUUAGGGUUGUAAACCCCUUUCAGCGGGGAAGAUAAUGACGGUACCCGCAGAAGAAGUCCCGGCUAACUUCGUGCCAGCAGCCGCGGUAA
rnacentral:rRNA from 1 species